GUACUCGAGCGGCGAACGGGUGAGUAACACGUGAGUAAUCUGCCCCUAGCUCUGGGAUAGCUCCGGGAAACCGGGAUUAAUACCGGAUACGACCACACUAGACAUCUGGUGCGGUGGAAAGGGUUUCCGGCUAGGGAUGAGCUCGCGGCCUAUCAGCUUGUUGGUGGGGUAACGGCCCACCAAGGCGACGACGGGUAGCCGGCCUGAGAGGGCGACCGGCCACACUGGGACUGAGACACGGCCCAGACUCCUACGGGAGGCAGCAGUGGGGAAUAUUGCGCAAUGGGCGAAAGCCUGACGCAGCGACGCCGCGUGGGGGAUGAAGGCCUUCGGGUUGUAAACCCCUUUCAGCAGGGACGAAGCGAAAGUGACGGUACCUGCAGAAGAAGCGCCGGCUAACUACGUGCCAGCAGCCGCGGUAACACGUAGGGCGCAAGCGUUGUCCGGAAUUAUUGGGCGUAAAGAGCUCGUAGGCGGUCUGUUACGUCUGCUGUGAAAACUCGGGGCUUAACCCCGAGCCUGCAGUGGAUACGGGCAGACUAGAGGUAGGUAGGGGAGAAUGGAAUUCCCGGUGUAGCGGUGAAAUGCGCAGAUAUCGGGAGGAACACCGGUGGCGAAGGCGGUUCUCUGGGCCUUACCUGACGCUGAGGAGCGAAAGCGUGGGGAGCGAACAGGAUAGAUACCCUGGUAGUCCACGCCGUAAACGUUGGGGCGCUAGGUGUGGGAUCCUUCCA
rnacentral:rRNA from 1 species